UUAUCUCAUAUUGAUUUAAUUAGCUGCAGCACUCAGGUCUGAAUCGCCUGCUGCCCGCAGCAGGGGCCCGGCGGGGAGAGGAGGUUCACACUGACCACGCAGCCUCUCCCAUCGCUCACCCUGGCCUGCUUUCCCUGGAACACGGGUCAGCUCACGGGCCGUCCUUGUGGCAGCGAGGUGGUGGCCGUUGGCCGAAGGCGGCCCAGCCACAUCCGCUGCCUCAUGGGCAGCUCUGUCUCGCACACGCGUCCGCUGGGGUGGCAGCGCGAGCUAAUUAGCCGCAGUAAUUAGAGAGAGUGUCUUCAUAAUGCGGAAUUAGAGUGGCUUGGUGAAAGCAGGGAGAUAUAUGGCGCAGGCUGGCGGUGGUGAUGGAGGAGAAGCGAGCGGGGAGAGGACGAGGCUGCUCCCAGGUGUCCUUUGGCCUCCCGCUGUGACCCUUCCGCCCCUCCUCAGGGUCCCCACUCUGGUGUCAAGCGAUUCAGCCAUUUAUGGCCUCCCCAUCCCUCAGUGACCCAGAGACCUCCAACAGAGCAGAUAUUUCCAGACAGGAAGAACUGUGUCCGAGAGCAGCCUGGUGCCCUGGCUUCUGCAGAGAGCACAUGGAGGGGCCCUAAGAGUCUCUGUCUCCCGCUGUCCCCCCUCCUUGCCCCCGUCCAACACGUGAGAAAACAGCCGAGAUUCUGGAUUAAUUGCUCUCUUCAUUACUGGUUCAUCAUAUCCAACACCUGCUACGGAAAAGAGGGGCAAUUUAUUUUGGCUCCCACCUUCAGAGUCCUCAGUCUGUGUCCAGGAAGCAUUAACUCAGAAGCCGCACGCUGAUGGUGACCACCUCCUGCACGCGGUGAGCAGCCUGAACACAGAACAGCAUGGGAUUUUGUUCACCAGCAGAGCCUCACGUUCCUGGGGAAGUCUUCCCUGAGUGCUCCAUUGUCCGUCCAUCCAUCCAUCCAUCCGUCCGUCCGUCCUUUCAUCUGUCCACCAUUUCAUCUGGCGUCUGACAACGUCAUGAGCUGCGGAGGCGGCAGGGCCUCUCUUGAUUCGUGUUUUGGGUGCACGGGAUGUCUGUCCCCAGAGGCAAAGCCGCGUCCACCAGCUUCUAACAGAAGCCUCUUUCUUUCCCCCGAGAGGCUGCGCGACUCCACGCCAAGGUUUUGCUGAUUUAGGAACUCGCUGUGUCUGUCCCCUGUGCAGCACCGCACAUUCUGAGCAGGUCCUCCUGGCCCACAAGCCCUUAAUCACCCUCUGUAAUUAAAUAAAACA